UGCAGUCGAACGAAGUAGCAAUACUUAGUGGCAGACGGGUGAGUAACAUGUGGGUAUCUUCCCUUUGGUGAGGAAUAACACGAGGAAACUUGUGCUAAUACCUCAUAAGUCUUUACAGAGAAAGCUUUAUGCGCCAUUGGAUGAGCCCGCACUUGAUUAGUUUGUUGGUGGGGUAAUGGCCUACCAAGACAAUGAUCAAUAGCUGAUUUGAGAGGAUGAUCAGCCACAUUGGGACUGAGACACGGCCCAAACUCCUACGGGAGGCAGCAGUAGGGAAUCUUGCACAAUGGAGGAAACUCUGAUGCAGCGAUGCCGCGUGAGUGAAGAAGGCCUUUGGGUUGUAAAGCUCUUUCGUCGGGGAAGAAAAUGACUGUACCCGAAUAAGAAGGUCCGGCUAACUUCGUGCCAGCAGCCGCGGUAAUACGAAGGGACCUAGCGUAGUUCGGAAUUACUGGGCUUAAAGAGUUCGUAGGUGGUUAAAAAAGUUGGUGGUGAAAUCCCAGAGCUUAACUCUGGAACUGCCAUCAAAACUUUUUAGCUAGAGUAUGAUAGAGGAAAGCAGAAUUUCUAGUGUAGAGGUGAAAUUCGUAGAUAUUAGAAAGAAUACCAAUUGCGAAGGCAGCUUUCUGGAUCAUUACUGACGCUGAGGAACGAAAGCAUGGGUAGCGAAGAGGAUUAGAUACCCUCGUAGUCCAUGCCGUAAACGAUGUGUGUUAGACGUUGGAAAUUUAUUUUCAGUGUCGCAGUGAAAACAAUAAACACACCGCC
rnacentral:rRNA from 1 species